rnacentral:tRNA from 1 species
UCCCAGGAAUACCUCAGUUGGUAGAACAUGAGACUCUUGAUCUCAGGGUUGUGGGUUCGAGCCCCACGUUGGGCA